AAGUCGUAACAAGGUCUCCGUAGGUGAACCUGCGGAGGGAUCAUUACCGAGUGAGGGCCUCGUGCCCGACCUCCAACCCUUUGAAGUUACCAACUCUGUUGCCUCGGGGGCGACCCGGCCUCCGCGCCGGCGCCCCCGGAGGACCACACCACUCUGCAUUACUGCGUCGGAGUUUGAAGCAAAAAGUUUAUUAAAACUUUCAACAACGGAUCUCUUGGUUCUG
rnacentral:misc_RNA from 1 species